rnacentral:tRNA from 1 species
GGGCGUAUGGUCUAGUGGUAUGAUUUCUGUUUUGCAAGAAAAUUUCUUCAAUACAGACGGUCCCGCGUUCAAUCCGCGGUACGUCCA